GAUGAACGCUGGCGGCGUGCCUAAUACAUGCAAGUCGAGCGAACGGACGAGAAGCUUGCUUCUCUGAUGUUAGCGGCGGACGGGUGAGUAACACGUGGAUAACCUACCUAUAAGACUGGGAUAACUUCGGGAAACCGGAGCUACUACCGGAUAAUAUUUUGAACCGCAUGGUUCAAAAGUGAAAGACGGUCUUGCUGUCACUUAUAGAUGGAUCCGCGCUGCAUUAGCUAGUUGGUAAGGUAACGGCUUACCAAGGCAACGAUGCAUAGCCGACCUGAGAGGAUGAUCGGCCACACUGGAACUGAGACACGGUCCAGACUCCUACGGGAGGCAGCAGUAGGGAAUCUUCCGCAAUGGGCGAAAGCCUGACGGAGCAACGCCGCGUGAGUGAUGAAGGUCUUCGGAUCGUAAAACUCUGUUAUUAGGGAAGAACAUAUGUGUAAGUAACUGUGCACAUCUUGACGGUACCUAAUCAGAAAGCCACGGCUAACUACGUG
rnacentral:rRNA from 1 species